rnacentral:rRNA from 1 species
GUGCCAGCCGCCGCGGUAAUACGGAGGGUGCGAGCGUUGUUCGGAAUUAUUGGGCGUAAAGCGCGUGUAGGCGGUCCGUUAAGUCUGAUGUGAGAGCCCAGGGCUCAACCCUGGAAGUGCAUUGGAAACUGGCGGACUUGAGUACGGGAGAGGGAAGUGGAAUUCCGAGUGUAGGGGUGAAAUCCGUAGAUAUUCGGAGGAACACCAGUGGCGAAGGCGGCUUCCUGGACCGAUACUGACGCUGAGACGCGAAAGCGUGGGGAGCAAACAGGAUUAGAUACCCUGGUAGUCCACGCCGUAAACGAUGGGUACUAGGUGUUGCGGGUAUUGACCCCUGCAGUGCCGAAGCUAACGCAUUAAGUACCCCGCCUGGGGAGUACGCACGCAAGUGUGAAACUUAAAUGAAUUGGCGGGG